UUCUUAUCCAGAGAGACUGAGGGACAGGCCCUAAGAAGUCUCGGCAGCAGGUUCUUAAAUGAACACUGUGCCAAUUCCUGCAGAUGCAUUACGUGUCUGGAAGAUGAGAA
rnacentral:ncRNA from 2 species